UCCUCCAUCCGGCGACGGAUUUUGACGUGUAAGAUGUCGUUGGAAAGCUCUCUUCCUUCUCUUCAUUUCUGGGUUCGUUUCGUAGCUUAAUAUGAACUGUGGAAGGUGCAGCAACGAGAAGAAGAGGACGGUCACUGUAGCAGUUUUGAGUCAACGCCGAUAUUUUCCGAUUCCGGCAGUCUCCGGCCACCAAAUUGGCUUCGAAGGGUUCUUGGAAUUUCUGGAAACUUUUCACCGGCCAAAUUGGAGCUCUUCCAGGGCAAUGCCGCGAGCUACAGUUAAAUGAAGGAACUCGUUUGCGUGGUCGCCCAAUAGUACUUUUGCAGGCGAAAUUAGUUGAGGUCGGGCGUACAUGGAGUCGAGGCAUAGCCAACAGCAUUGCAUCCGCGUACUCAUUCUAUUUUUGUUUUCUUUGUUACCUAGUGGAUUAGUAUUGCUCUGAUAACCUAUGGGAUUAAUAUUGUUUUUGGGUUGAGACUGAUAUUUGUGAAAUUGGAGUUGUGA